rnacentral:rRNA from 1 species
UGCAUGUCUUAGCACAAGCCGAAAAUGGUGAAGCCGCGAAUGGCUCAUUACAACAGCCUUGGUUUAUUUGAUCUUGAAAUCCUACUUGGAUAACUGUGGUAAUUCUAGAGCUAAUACACGCACACAAGCUCGGGCCGCCUUCGGGAGGCGCGAGCGCAUUUAUUAGUACAAAACCAAUCGGGCCUUCGGGCCCGUUGUUUGGUGAAUCUGAAUAACUGAGCCGAUCGCAUGGUCUCUGCACCGGCGACGUAUCUUUCAAGUGUCUGCCCUAUCAACUUUCGACGGUAGUUUAUGUGACUACUGUGGUUACAACGGGUAACGGAGAAUUAGGGUUCGACUCCGGAGAAGCAGCCUGAGAAACGGCUACUA